GUACCUGAUGAUUAGUUCUAUCCACUGUAUUGGCCGUGGAGGGGUGGUCUCUAGUGUUCUGACGAAUUCGAGUGGAGUUUUGUUGCUCAAUGUUGGAAGAGGUUGGGAUACAGAACUCUCUGAAGCAUCGUUUGAAGUUUUCAUCCAGAAAUGCAUAAAGGACUGGGUUGAGGCAGCUGUUUGUGUAACCUAGAGCAAUGCAGAAGUGCCAAGAAACAGUCUGGAACGUAGUUUCUGGGAUUGUAACCAAGGCUUUAAUGAUGACGUAAAUGUGAAUGGGAGUCCAGCAGACGAUGAACACAGCCACCACCACCAGCACCAUCCUGGUGAUCCUUCGAAGAUUCCUGUCCUUUUCUUUGGAGCCAGAGAGCAUGCGGACACUCUUGAGGCGCAAGAUCAUCAGUCCAUAGCACACGGUAAUGAUGAGCACUGGCAUAAUGAAGGCGAAGAUGAAAACACAGAUCUUCAGCAGGUUUUCCCAGUACCAGGUUGGAUGAGAGAAUGUUAGUGUACAAUCUAUGGAACCUAGA
rnacentral:lncRNA from 1 species